rnacentral:rRNA from 1 species
CGCCUUGCCAGCCCGCUCAGAAACUUAAAGGAAAUUGACGGGGGCCCGCACAAGCGGCGGAGCAUGUGGAUUAAUUCGAUGCAACGCGAAGAACCUUACCUGGGUUUGACAUACACCGGAAAACCGUAGAGAUACGGUCCCCCUUGUGGUCGGUGUACAGGUGGUGCAUGGCUGUCGUCAGCUCGUGUCGUGAGAUGUUGGGUUAAGUCCCGCAACGAGCGCAACCCUUGUCUUAUGUUGCCAGCACGUGAUGGUGGGGACUCGUAAGAGACUGCCGGGGUCAACUCGGAGGAAGGUGGGGACGACGUCAAGUCAUCAUGCCCCUUAUGUCCAGGGCUUCACACAUGCUACAAUGGCCAGUACAGAGGGCUGCGAGACCGUGAGGUGGAGCGAAUCCCUUAAAGCUGGUCUCAGUUCGGAUCGGGGUCUGCAACUCGACCCCGUGAAGUCGGAGUCGCUAGUAAUCGCAGAUCAGCAACGCUGCGGUGAAUACGUUCCCGGGCCUU